rnacentral:lncRNA from 1 species
GACUGCCUGAGGCUGUAGAGGCCAUCUCGGAGCCUCUAUGUGGCCACCUCGUUGAAGAUCUGACGGCCAGCAUCCUCAUCCUAGGGAGUCUCGAAUCGGUAGUACUCCUAAAAGAUAGAAUCAAAGCAUGUAUUAAUAAGUAGAAUAUAAAUGUAUUGUGAAUUUAAAAAUUAAACAUUUCUGACUUAUUCAAAACAUCUCCCAGACUGCAUCACAAGCUCCAGACGGCC